CCUACGGGGGGCAGCAGUGGGGAAUAUUGCACAAUGGGGGAAACCCUGAUGCAGCAACGCCGCGUGAGUGAAGAAGUACUUCGGUAUGUAAAGCUCUAUCAGCAGGGAAGAAGAUGACGGUACCUGAGUAAGAAGCCCCGGCUAACGACGUGCCAGCAGCCGCGGUAAUACGUAGGGGGCCAGCGUUAUCCGGAUUUACUGGGUGUAAAGGGCGCGUAGAGGGUGAGACAAGUCUGAAGUGAAAGGCGGGGGCUCAACCCCGGGACUGCUUUGGAAACUGCCUGACUGGAGUGCCGGAGAGGCAAGCGGAAUGCCUAGUGUAGCGGUGAAAUGCGUAGAUAUUAGGAAGAACACCAGUGGCGAAGGCGGCUUGCUGGACAGUAACUGACGUUGAGGCUCGAAAGCGUGGGGAGCAAACAGGAUUAGAUACCCCAGUAGUC
rnacentral:rRNA from 1 species